GACGAACGCUGGCGGCGUGCCUAAUACAUGCAAGUAGAACGCACAGUUUAUACCGUAGCUUGCUACACCAUAGACUGUGAGUUGCGAACGGGUGAGUAACGCGUAGGUAACCUGCCUGGUAGCGGGGGAUAACUAUUGGAAACGAUAGCUAAUACCGCAUAAUAUUAAUUAUUGCAUGAUAAUUAAUUGAAAGGUGCAAUUGCACCACUACCAGAUGGACCUGCGUUGUAUUAGCUAGUAGGUGAGGUAACGGCUCACCUAGGCGACGAUACAUAGCCGACCUGAGAGGGGGAUCGGCCACACUGGGACUGAGACACGGCCCAGACUCCUACGGGAGGCAGCAGUAGGGAAGCUUCGGCAAUGGACGAAAGUCUGACCGAGCAACGCCGCGUGAGUGAAGAAGGUUUUCGGAUCGUAAAGCUCUGUUGUAAGAGAAGAACGGGUGUGAGAGUGGAAAGUUCACACUGUGACGGUAUCUGACCAGAAAGGGACGGCUAACUACGUG
rnacentral:rRNA from 1 species